AAAAUAUAUUUACCGCCAUUAUAAAAAUAAUAAAAGUUUUCAAAUUGUAUCAACAAAUCUCACUCUCUUAUAAUAUUAUUUAAGUAAUUAAUUUUGUCAGUUUGGUAAAGAUUUUUUAAUGUGAAAUACAGGAUCUAUUAAUUGAGUAAAAGGAGUUGCACUAAUAAUGUAUAAAGGAAUUGAAAUAAUUUAAUUUUUGGAAAUUAAUUAUAUGUUAUUUACCUAUUAUUUAUAUAGAUGUAAUUUUAAAAUGAAUUUAAGUUAGGGGCAACAACAUGAACAUCCUGGUUUUCCAUUACAUAGAGUUCGUUUUUCAGGGUUACUUAAACACUGACGAGGGUCGGGUAAUUCUGUACUUGGAAAACAAUCCUGGCCACAACGGACGUCGGCAUUUGUAGAAAAUACAUACAGUAAUAUAAAAUAACAUAGGGAACUAAUUAAAAACAUCAACUUCAUUAUAAUACGUGACGAAAACUGUUACCAAAUCGGUAUAUUUAGUUGCUUGAAUCAAUUCCGAUGGAAUGGAACGGUUGUUGUUGAAAUCUGGCGUUGUUCAAUAGAGAAAAGGUGAAGACGAUAAUCGAUUUUUAAGGUGACGAAUUGAUACCUUCAAUCUGUAAAACCGAUUUAGUAUAAUUAUAACGUAAUAGUAAAUAGUAAAUUUAACGCAGAUUACAAACUUUUGUGUCACAACAAAAAAAAUAAACCAUCGAAUAUACCU